CCGUGGAGGGAAACACAUGUUGGGUUCAGUGACCCACUUGUUACUUGAGGAGAACACCUAUUUCUACCUAAGAGCACUCCUGGAGGGUGAUGGAUUUCACACAACGAUCUGAAGAGACUCAUCUCAGGGGACAAAGCAGGUGGUAACCAGAGAACGAGGAGAGCCCAAGAGAGUUGUAUGGCAUUCCAGGCAGGACACAGGCCAGCCUGGGGGCCAGCAGGAAGAAGAGCUGGGAAUACAAGAGUGCUACCCGGAAGUUAUUUCUGAGGAGAAGCAAUGGGCCUGAGCAGCAGCCUGCUUAACUGUGACCAACAAGAGCCCUGCAAGCCUCAGGAGGCAUGGCCAG